ACAAGCAGCGGAGCGUGUGGUUUAAUUCGAUGCAACGCGAAGAACCUUACCAAGGCUUGACAUGCCAGAAGUAGGAACUCGAAAGAGAGACCACCUGUAUCCAGUCAGGAACUGGCACAGGUGCUGCAUGGCUGUCGUCAGCUCGUGCCGUGAGGUGUUAGGUUAAGUCCUGCAACGAGCGCAACCCUCGUCGCUAGUAAAUUUUUCUAGCGAUACUGCCCGUAAAACGAGGAGGAAGGUGGGGAUGACGUCAAGUCAGCAUGGCCCUUACGCCUUGGGCUACACACACGCUACAAUGGGUGAUACAACGGGUUGCGAGAGAGCGAUCUGGAGCUAAUCCCUAAAAUCAUCCUCAGUUCGGAUUGCAGGCUGAAACUGCCUGCAUGAAGUUGGAGUUGCUAGUAACCGCAGGUCAGCACACUGCGGUGAAUACGUUCUCGGGCCUU
rnacentral:rRNA from 1 species